rnacentral:tRNA from 1 species
UCUAAUAUGGCAGAAUAGUGCAAUGGACUUAAAUCCCAUAAAUAAAGUUAAUCUUUUUUUAGAA